ACAAAGAGGCACAAACAAGAGUACCGAGUAUCUCAUAGCCUUCACCCACCGCUCCUUUUUUAUUUUCAUC
rnacentral:sRNA from 1 species